rnacentral:rRNA from 1 species
GCUUGGAAGCAGCCAUUCAUUUAAAGAGUGCGUAACAGCUCACUAGUCGAGUGGACAAGCGCGGAAAAUAAUCGGGCAUAAAGCACAUUACCGAAGCUAUGUUUUUCAUAUUUAAUUAUAUGGAGAGGUAGGGGAGCAUUCCAAUAUCGGCGAAGUUUAUCUGCGAGGAUAGAUGGAGAGAUUGGAAAAGCAAAUGUAGGCAUAAGUAACGAUAAGACGGGUGAGAAACCCGUCCACCGAAAGACUAAGGGUUCCUGAUCAACGCUAAUCGGAUCAGGGUUAGUCGGAUCCUAAGGAUAACCCGCAAGGGGCAUUCGAUGGGUAACUGGUUAAUAUUCCAGUACUAUCUAUUACUGCGAUGCAGUGACGAAGUAGUGAAAGGCCUGCGUACUGACGGAAUAGUACGUUGAAUAGAGUAGGUAUAUGUUAUAUAGUAAAGUACGUAUAGCAUGCUGAAACUAGACAGUACCGAGCGUCUUCGGACAAUCGGAUAAUGGCUGUAAUCAGACUUCCGAGAAAACCUGCUAAGCUUCAGGUAAUAGAUAACCGUACCGUAAACCGACACAGGUAGUCGAGGAGAGAAUCCUAAGGUGCUCGAGUGAAUCAUGGCUAAGGAAUUCGGCAAAAUGGUCUCGUAACUUCGGGAGAAGAGACGCCUGAUGUAAGAAUCAGGCCGCAGUGAAGAGGCCCAGGCGACUGUUUAACAAAAACACAGGACUAUGCGAAAUUGAAAGAUGAAGUAUAUGGUCUGACACCUGCCCGGUGCCGGAAGGUUAAGGAAGGGGGUUAGUGCGUAAGUGCGAAGCUCUUGACUGAAGCCCCGGUAAACGGCGGCCGUAACUAUAACGGUCCUAAGGUAGCGAAAUUCCUUGUCGGGUAAGUUCCGACCUGCACGAAUGGUGUAACGAUCUGGGCACUGUCUCAGCCAUGAGCUCGGUGAAAUUGUAAUUCCGGUGAAGAUGCCGGAUACCCGCAACGGGACGGAAAGACCCCGUGCACCUUUACUGCAACUUAACAUUGGUUUUGGGUAAGUAAUGUGUAGGAUAGGUGGGAGACUAUGAAGUGGCUUCGCCAGGAGUCGUGGAGUCAACCUUGAAAUACCACCCUUUGCUUGCCUGGAAUCUAAUUCCGGGAACGGAAGACAGUGUUUGGUGGGUAGUUUGACUGGGGUGGUCGCCUCCAAAAGAGUAACGGAGGCUUUCAAAGGUACCCUCAGCACGCUUGGUAACCGUGCGUUGAGUGCAAUAGCACAAGGGUGCUUGACUGUGAGACUGACAAGUCGAACAGGGUCGAAAGACGGAUAUAGUGAUCCGGUGGUUCCGUAUGGAAGGGCCAUCGCUCAAAGGAUAAAAGGUACGCCGGGGAUAACAGGCUGAUCUCCCCCAAGAGCUCAUAUCGACGGGGAGGUUUGGCACCUCGAUGUCGGCUCGUCACAUCCUGGGGCUGGAGAAGGUCCCAAGGGUUGGGCUGUUCGCCCAUUAAAGUGGCACGCGAGCUGGGUUCAGAACGUCGCAAGACAGUUCGGUCUCUAUCUGUUGCGGGCGUUAGAAAUUUGCGGGGAUCUGAUUCUAGUACGAGAGGACCGAAUCGGACGAACCUCUAGUGUACCUGUUGUGGCGCCAGCUGCACCGCAGGGUAGCUAUGUUCGGAAGGGAUAAGCGCUGAAAGCAUCUAAGCACGAAGCCCACCUCAAGAUGAGAUUUCUUUUAAGGGUCGUGAGAGAUGAUCACGUAGAUAGGUUACAGGUGUAAAGGCAGUAAUGUCAAAGCCGAGUAAUACUAAUUACCCGUAAGCUUUCCAUA